UACGUAGGGACCAAGCGUUGUUCGGAUUUACUGGGCGUAAAGGGCGCGUAGGCGGCUUGACAAGUCACUGGUGAAAUCUCCGGGCUUAACUCGGAACGGCCAAGUGAAACUGUCAUGCUAGAGUGCAGAAGGGGCAAUCGGAAUUCUGGGUGUAGCGGUGAAAUGCGUAGAUAUCAGGAGGAACACCGGUGGCGAAGGCGGGUCUCUGGGCCGAUACUGACGCUGAGGAGCGAAAGCGUGGGGAGCGAACAGG
rnacentral:rRNA from 1 species